GGGCGGCUAGCUCAGUGGGAGAGCGCUUGCUUCACACGCAAGAGGUCAUUGGUUCAAACCCAAUGCCGCCCACCA
rnacentral:tRNA from 1 species